UACGUAGGGCGCAAGCGUUAUCCGGAAUUAUUGGGCGUAAAGAGCUCGUAGGCGGUUUGUCGCGUCUGCCGUGAAAGUCCCGGGGGCUCAACUCCGGAUCUGCGGUGGGUACGGGCAGACUAGAGUGAUGUAGGGGGAGACUGGAAUUCCUGGUGUAGCGGUGAAAUGCGCAGAUAUCAGGAGGAACACCGAUGGCGAAGGCAGGUCUCUGGGCAUUAACUGACGCUGAGGAGCGAAAGCAUGGGGAGCGAACAGG
rnacentral:rRNA from 1 species